CCUACGGGCGGCAGCAGUGAGGAAUAUUGGUCAAUGGACGAGAGUCUGAACCAGCCAAGUAGCGUGAAGGAUGACUGCCCUAUGGGUUGUAAACUUCUUUUAUAUGGGAAUAAAAUGUUCCACGUGUGGGAUUUUGUAUGUACCAUAUGAAUAAGGAUCGGCUAACUCCGUGCCAGCAGCCGCGGUAAUACGGAGGAUCCGAGCGUUAUCCGGAUUUUUUGGGUUUAAAGGGAGCUUAGGUGGAUUGUUAAGUCAGUUGUGAAAGUUUGCGGCUCAACCGUAAAAUUGCAGUUGAAACUGGCAGUCUUGAGUACAGUAGAGGUGGGCGGAAUUCGUGGUGUAGCGGUGAAAUGCUUAGAUAUCACGAAGAACUCCGAUUGCGAAGGCAGCUCACUGGACUGCAACUGACACUGAGGCUCGAAAGUGUGGGUAUCAAACAGGAUUAGAUACCCGUGUAGUC
rnacentral:rRNA from 1 species